rnacentral:lncRNA from 10 species
GGGUGCUGGAGAUGCAAUGUAGUUCCUACGUGCCUAGAGCUGAUGUCUAAGGAAGCAGAGAUAUAGAAAAGUAAGUUAGAAUAAUAUUGGCAGCAGGGUUGGAGGAAGCACAGAUGCCUUGGGGGAGAUGUGGGGAGGGCUGUGUGUGUGUGUGUGUCCUGAUUCUCAUUCUUUCUUCUAAAUGCCCUUCCUGUUUGUCUUUGAAUGUCCUGCU